ensembl:lncRNA
GGCUUUUGAGGUCUUUUUGAGAUACAAAUUUAGAGAGAUGCCAUGAGGAGGAGACUUAAAAUAGAUUAGGGGAAAUAGAUGAAGAAACAUCACAGGCCUGGCUCGAACCUGUGUCACCCAUGAUGAGGUGAUAGGGCUCAGGGGAACUCUGUGCAGAAACUCUACAUGGCCCAGUAUGGGGAGAAGACAGGAAACUGCCUUUCAUUACAGUAUAGAGGCUUGCACAUGUGGGAGUGAUGUUGGAAUGACUCUUUCUUCCAGUCUGCAGGCAUCGCACCCGUCUACUGGUCUGCUAGGCAAAUCCUCUCCCAUCAAACUGCCUUGGGACCAGGAUUACUGAGAUUUUGAAAAGAGUAAAACAGAAUAUUCGAUGUGAAAAGCAUUCCACACCAUAAUGGAGCCAGACCUGAAUGUGACUUCACAAUGUCCCAUCCUGAAACGCCACCGGCUGCACCUUUUUAGACUUUUUGUCUGGGAUGUGGAAGCUGAAGCCUUAGUGGCAUCUGCAAGAAAGGAAGACAGACAGACAUAGUUUUCUUUGUACACUAAUGAAUUGGACAGACCAGGAGCAUGUGUUCAUAAUUUUUUUUCUGUUGUCAUCUUAACUAACCAGACUGACAAUUUCCAAUGUGAAUGGAAUUCCAUACCGGAACAGAGCCAGACCUGAAUGCAAGCUUGUGAUCUUCUAGCUUUAAGAUUAAGGAUGCACAGUUUAUCUAAAUCAUGACAUUUUUCAGAUUAUGUUGGAGAUUUUGAAUUUGAAUUUAUUUAUUAGGAUAAACCCAUCAUGAU